GACGAACGCUGGCGGCGUGCCUAAUACAUGCAAGUAGAACGCUGAAGGAGGAGCUUGCUCUUCUGGAUGAGUUGCGAACGGGUGAGUAACGCGUAGGUAACCUGCCUGGUAGCGGGGGAUAACUAUUGGAAACGUUAGCUAAUACCGCAUAAUAGUAGAUGUUGCAUGACAUUUGCUUAAAAGGUGCAAUUGCAUCACUACCAGAUGGACCUGCGUUGUAUUAGCUAGUUGGUGAGGUAACGGCUCACCAAGGCAACGAUACAUAGCCGACCUGAGAGGGUGAUCGGCCACACUGGGACUGAGACACGGCCCAGACUCCUACGGGAGGCAGCAGAAGGGAAUCUUCGGCAAUGGACGGAAGUCUGACCGAGCAACGCCGCGUGAGUGAAGAAGGUUUUCGGAUCGUAAAGCUCUGUUGUAAGAGAAGAACGGGUGUGAGAGUGGA
rnacentral:rRNA from 1 species